GAACCAACCAACCUCUUCUCCCCACCCUUGGAUUCCUGGGGUCUAUUUAUAGCUAUACUCAAAGCAAAUGCAGACUGCCCAGUCUUCAGAGGGUGUCUAGCAGGGAAUACUCUAGUUGCGUUAAUAAGAUAAGAAUGGGGCUACUAGGAUACAUUGUAAGUAACAUAUGACAAAGUAUGUGCUGAAAUUUAACUUGUCUGGUAUCAAAUUGAAAUUUGGUGUUUGAGAUAGUAUGACAUUUUUUGCAAAAUUCGGACAUGUUUCCCCAAACACUGUUACUUCCAUCUAGGCUGGUUGAGCAUGGGCUUCCUCACUUUCAUGUUUCUGCCCCUUUGACAGAUUUAUUUUCCUACCAUGCUUUGCUUUUAGUUGUCCACCAGAGCCUAGCUCUCCCUUUUUCUAAACCUUUAAGAACCCAGACUUAUCCUAUUCCGGCCUUCAGAUCUCUCUUCACUGCCAACUAUGUGACUUCUACAUCAGUAAAGAGCAUCAAGUAUUGGCAGUGGGAUUCAGUGCAUAUUACAGAGCUAUGUGACAUCAUGAAAUGCAAAGUUAACACUUUAUUCAAAGAAACCAAAACAGCUCAGACCCAGUGAUCACAGGAACUCUUCCCAAUGGCCUCCCACCACUCCUCUGCAUCUAGCCAGUCCAUGACAAACAUGCAGUGACAUCCCUGCAUUAUGGCAACUCAUCCACAACCCACCCAGUUCCAAAGAAUGCCCUCCUGCUACCAAGGCAGCAGCUCACCUCCCCCCAGUACUCUACCACCCAAGCUCUGAUGCCAUCCUCACUCUUUAACAAAUGACUUUCUACUAUCUUUGAAAUAUAUUUUUCUACAACCCUGUAGUAUAGUCCAAUGGCAAUAUACCUGUUGCAAUAUUCUGUUGCAACAGAAACAACAGUGUGUGGCAUCUUGAAGACUAACACAUUUAUAACAACGUAAACUUCUGUGGGCUAGAGUUUAAUAAAACUGGAAACAAUGGGGCAGGGGUGCUUUUCAGUUUGUUUGUUGUUUUUUCAAAUCAGUUUUUGAUUACCUUAUUUUACUAUUUUGAGAUGUAUUUCUCUUUUUCACACUGCUGAAUGCUUCCGUUUUGUGUAAGGUUGUCUCUAGGAGUUGACAAAUCUGUCUAUUUUGGUUUC